ACUUAGAUCAGAGCACACUGCCACAGAUCUCGGUCAUAAUGUGGACAACCUGUUUUUUGGUCCUGUUUUUGGCGGGAAUCUGCAGCGGUUCGUGUCCGGUCGGGUUUGUACAACAUGGUACUUCCUGUUACAUGACGUUCCACAUCCGGGCUUCCUGGGCGGAGGCAAACUAUUACUGCGGUCUGAUUCAAUCGUCUCUGUUGUCAAUAAAUGACGCCAGUGAGGAACAAUUCAUCCAAGGAUAUCUAGGACGACUCGGUCCAGGAGCGUUCUCCACUGACUCGCUGUGGGUUGGAGGCACCAGCCUCUUCUCUGGGAGCUGGAUCUGGACCCAGACUCAAACCAGCCCCACCUACACAUCAUGGGCCCCCAACGAGCCGUCCACCCACGCACUCAAUAAGUGCAUGGCUAUCGGCUUCAAAUCUCAGUUUCUUUGGACUGCCAACGUUUGUGAACAACUUAAUAACUUCAUCUGCGAAUCUCCGGCAUAGGUCGAAAAUUUCGAAAAUUAUGAAAUAAUCGGUAACUUCAAUAAAAAAAAUUUAUACAAAAUUU
rnacentral:misc_RNA from 1 species